rnacentral:snRNA from 1 species
UAAUGUAGGGCAAUCUGGCUGCAACAUCUGUCACCCCAUUGAUCACCAGGAUUGAUUUGGCUGAUCUGGCUGGCUAGGCAGGUGUCCUCUUCCUCUCUCACUGCUCCAUGUGCAUCCCUCCCAAAGGUGUGUGCUCGGUGGAAGAGGACAACCAUCCCUCAUAGAGGAGGACCGUUCUUCAGUCGAGGGUAUACAAGUAGCUGCACUCCCCUGCUAGUACCUUCAAAUAAGCUCUCAAGGCCCAUUUUUUUUUUUUAACUGUGGUGCAAUUGAUAAAACAUUACAUUAGUUUCUGGUAUACAAUAUCAUCAUUGAAUAUUGGUAUAUACUG